rnacentral:rRNA from 1 species
CGCACGGGUGAGUAACACGUAUGCAACCUGCCUGCCACAGCCGGAUAAUCGGGAGAAAUUCCGUCUAAUACGGCAUAAUGCAUCGACGGGACAUCCUGUUGGUGCCAAAGGUUAAUUCCGGUGGCGGAUGGGCAUGCGUCGCAUUAGUUAGUUGGCGGUGUAACGGACCACCAAGACGACGAUGCGUAGGGGUUCUGAGAGGAAGGUCCCCCACACUGGUACUGAGACACGGACCAGACCCCUACGGGAGGCAGCAG